GAAACUGCGAAUGGCUCAUUAAAUCAGUUAUCGUUUAUUUGAUAGUACCUUACUACUUGGAUAACCGUGGUAAUUCUAGAGCUAAUACAUGCUAAAAACCCCAACUCACGAAGGGGUGUAUUUAUUAGAUUAAAAACCAAUGCCCUCCCGGGCUCCCUGGUGAUUCAUAAAUAACUUCUCGGAUCGCACGGCCCUUGCGCCGGCGAUGGGUUCAUUUCAAAUUUCUGCCCUAUCAAACUUUCGAUGGGCUGGGUCUUGGCCCAGCCAUGGUGACAACGGGUAACGGAGGGUUAGGGCUCGACCCCGGAGAGGGAGCCUGAGAAACGGCUACCACAUCCAAGGAAGGCAGCAGGCGCGCAAAUUACCCAAUCCCGACUCGGGGAGGUAGUGACAAUAAAUACUGAUGCAGGGCUCUUUUGGGUCUUGCAAUUGGAAUGAGUACAAUUUAAAUCCCUUAACGAGGAACAAUUGGAGGGCAAGUCUGGUGCCAGCAGCCGCGGUAAUUCCAGCUCCAAUAGCGUAUAUUAAAGUUGUUGAGGUUAAAAAGCUCGUAGUUGAACCUUGGGCCUGGCUGGCCGGUCCGCCUCACCGCGUGCACUGGUCCGGCCGGGUCUUUCCCUCUGGGGAGCCGCAUGCCCUUUAUUGGGCGUGUCGGGGAAACCAGGACUUUUACCGUGAAUAAAUUGGAUCGCUUAAAGAAGGCUUCUGCUCGAACAGUACAGCAUGGAAUAAUGAAAAUAGGACGUGUGGUUCUAUUUUGUUGGUUUCUAGGACCGCCGUAAUGAUUAAUAGGGACAGUCGGGGGCGUCCCGUAUUCAAUUGUUCAGAGGUGAAAUUCUUGGAUUUAUUGAAGACGAACUACUGCGAAAGCAUUCGCCAAGGAUGUUUUCAUUAAUCAGGAACGAAAGUUAGGGGAUCGAAGACGAUCAGAUACCGUCGUAGUCUUAACCAUAAACUAUGCCGAUUAGGGAUCGGACGGUGUUAUUUUUUGACCCGUUCGGCACCUUACGAUAAAUC
rnacentral:rRNA from 1 species